GAUGAACGCUGGCGGCGUGCUUAACACAUGCAAGUCGAACGAAGCACUUUAUUUGAUUUCCUUCGGGACUGAUUAUUUUGUGACUGAGUGGCGGACGGGUGAGUAACGCGUGGGUAACCUGCCUUGUACAGGGGGAUAACAGUUGGAAACGGCUGCUAAUACCGCAUAAGCGCACGGCAUCGCAUGAUGCAGUGUGAAAAACUCCGGUGGUAUAAGAUGGACCCGCGUUGGAUUAGCUAGUGGGUGAGGUAACGGCCCACCAAGGCGACGAUCCAUAGCCGACCUGGGAGGGUGGCCGGACACAUUGGGACUGAGACACGGCCCAAACUCCUACGGGAGGCAGCAAUGGGGGAUAUUGCACAAUGGGCGAAAGCCUGAUGCAGCGACGCCGCGUGAGCGAAGAAGUAUUUCAGUAUGUAAAGCUCUAUCAGCAGGGAAGAUAAUGACGGUACCUGACUAAGAAGCACCGGCUAAAUACGUG
rnacentral:rRNA from 1 species